GAGGUCGUUGCUCUGUUUUUCUGCAUCGUCUUCCUCGUGCUCUGGUCUGGUGCCUUCAAGCUUGUCGAGCUUAUCUACGUUAGACUUCUCUUCACAUCUCUCUUCAAUCCCAUGGUUCCCAUAUUCUCCAAGUGUCACAGUGAAACUCUCAUCACUUUCAUCUCGUUCAAGUUCGUUGCUGUUUUUAUCCCAGUUCCAGCUCUUCGUUUCGUCGAACACGAUGUCUCGACUCACGAUCACUCUGCGACUUUCUGGAUCAAACAAGCGAUAAGCUUUUGAUC
rnacentral:lncRNA from 1 species